GCUCCGAUCGUCUAGCUCGGCCAAAGCAUUAUGCAUAACCGGUCAAGGAUAUCGGGUUUUCGACCCGACGACACGGGUUCAAAUCCCGUUCGGAGCA
rnacentral:tRNA from 1 species